CCCAUCUCUCUGAGCCCUCUCCUUCAACAACAAAACCCUGCCUGCCCCGAGCUAAAGGAAUCCGAUCACCCAGAAAAGGGAGACUUUACAGCUCUCUGGGAGCUCUGGACAGACGGAAGGGAUUAAAGCGAGUCUGCUGAGAUGAACACAUGACGCCUCCCACUCCUGCCACCACAUCACAAGUUACUCCUGUAACUAAUGCCUUCUCCGCCAUGCUACAAUGGUCCCUCAAACCAUGGGUCAGAAUAAACUCUUCAUCACUUGGCU